rnacentral:rRNA from 1 species
CGGACGGCCACAUUGGGACUGAGACGCGGCCCAAACUCCUACGGGAGGCAGCAGUGGGGGAUAUUGCACAAUGGAGGAAACUCUGAUGCAGCGACGCCGCGUGAGUGAAGAAGUAUUUCGGUAUGUAAAGCUCUAUCAGCAGGGAAGAAAGGCUCGCAAGAGAGAUGACGGUACCUGACUAAGAAGCCCCGGCUAACUACGUGCCAGCAGCCGCGGUAAUACGUAGGGGGCAAGCGUUAUCCGGAUUUACUGGGUGUAAAGGGAGCGCAGACGGUCAAGCAAGUCUGAAGUGAAACCCCACGGCUCAACCGUGGGCUUGCUUUGGAAACUGUUUGACUAGAGUACUGGAGAGGUAAGCGGAAUUCCUAGUGUAGCGGUGAAAUGCGUAGAUAUUAGGAGGAACAUCGGUGGGGAAGGCGGCUUANUGGACAGCAACUGACGUUGAGGCUCGGAUACGUGGGGAGCAAACAGGAUUAGAUACCCUGGUAG